rnacentral:rRNA from 1 species
CAGCCGCGGUAAUUCCAGCUCCAAUAGCGUAUAUUAAAGUUGUUGCAGUUAAAAAGCUCGUAGUUGAAUUUCGGGAUUGACACAUCGGUCGUGCCUUAAGGGGUAUGAACUGGUGUAGUCAAUUUCUCACCUUCUGGAGAACCGCGAUGCCCUUAAUUGGGUGUCACGGGGAACCAGGACCUUUACUUUGAAAAAAUUAGAGUGUUUAAAGCAGGCAUUUUGCUUGAAUACAUUAGCAUGGAAUAAUAAAAUAGGACGGCAUGAUUCUAUUUUGUUGGUUUCUAGGAUCACCGUAAUGAUUAAUAGGGAUAGUUGGGGGCAUUAGUAUUCAAUUGUCAGAGGUGAAAUUCUUGGAUUUAUUGAAGACUAACUACUGCGAAAGCAUUUGCCAAGGAUGUUUCAUUAAUCAAGAACGAAAGUUAGGGGAUCGAAGACGAUCAGAUACCGUCGUAGUCUUAACCAUAAACUAUGCCGACUAGGGAUCGGAUGAUGUUAAUUAUAAUGACUCAUUUGGCACCUUACGGGAAAC